rnacentral:rRNA from 1 species
UACGUAGGGCGCAAGCGUUGUCCGGAAUUAUUGGGCGUAAAGAGCUCGUAGGCGGCUUGUCGCGUCGUCCGUGAAAACCUGCGGCUCAACUGCAGGCUGGCGGUCGAUACGGGCAGGCUGGAGUUCGGUAGGGGAGACUGGAAUUCCUGGUGUAGCGGUGAAAUGCGCAGAUAUCAGAAGGAACACCGGUGGCGAAGGCGGGUCUCUGGGCCGAUACUGACGCUGAGGAGCGAAAGCGUGGGGAGCGAACAGG